AUGAGCUUUCGUUUUUGGGCCA
rnacentral:siRNA from 1 species